rnacentral:rRNA from 1 species
UGGGGAAUAUUGGACAAUGGGCGGAAGCCUGAUCCAGCAACGCCGCGUGAGGGAUGACGGCCUUCGGGUUGUAAACCUCUUUCAGUGCAGACGAAGUUUCGUUCUUUUGGGCGGAGUGACGGUAUGCACAGAAGAAGGACCGGCCAACUACGUGCCAGCAGCCGCGGUAAUACGUAGGGUCCGAGCGUUGUCCGGAAUUAUUGGGCGUAAAGGGCUCGUAGGCGGUUUGUCGCGUCGGGAGUGAAAACCCAGGGCUUAACUCUGGGCUUGCUUUCGAUACGGGCAGACUUGAGGCAUGCAGGGGAGAACGGAAUUCCUGGUGUAGCGGUGAAAUGCGCAGAUAUCAGGAGGAACACCGGUGGCGAAGGCGGUUCUCUGGGCAUGUUCUGACGCUGAGGAGCGAAAGUGUGGGGAGCGAA